ensembl:lncRNA
UGGGGGGUGUACUCAUGAACACGCAAAGGUCUACUGGAUGCUGUGCUUCCACCGGACCACACUGUGGUAGAUGUCUUCCACUUGCCCCUCCAGACCACCUCCCCACCCUCCGGCCAUGCCCAGUGUCCUGCAAUGCUGACCUUUGUGAAUGGGCUCAUCCAAGGCUACUUUGCCCUGGCUUCUGGUCAGGUUCAGCCAAUGGAAGGCACUGGGAGCAGGAAGUUAUUGCUUCCUCGAACUUGCAGUGAGUUGUCUAAUUCUCCUAACAAAGGCUGCAGCUCUGACCAGGUGGCCGUAUUCUAACCACUUCAGCACUUGUGCCUUCAGGUCUAGGAGAGAUGAAGCCUGCUCACCCUGGGAUUCCUCACCACUUUAACCAUGUAUGGAUGUGAGAGUUGGACCAUGAAGAAAGCUGAGCUCUGAAGAACUGAUGCUUUUGAACUGUGGUGUUGGAGAAGACUCUUAAGAGUCCCUUGGACUGUAAGGGGAUCAAACCAGUCAAUCCUAAUGGAAAUCAAUCGUGAAUGUUCAUUGGAAGGACUGAUGCUGAAGCUGAAGCUCCAAUACUUUGGCCACCUGAUGGGAAGAAGUGACUCAUUGGAAAAGACCCUGACGCUGGGAAAGAUUGAAGGCAGGAGGAAAGGAGACGACAAAGGAUGAGACAGUUGGAUGGCAUCACCGACUCAACAGAAAUGAGUUUGAGCAGGUUCCAGGAGUUGGUGAUGGACAGGGAAGCCUGGUGUGCUGCAGUCCAUGGGAUUGCAAAGAGUUGGACCUGACUGAGCAACUGAAUUGACUGAUAUCUGAUGAUCCCAAACUGUUGAUUUAUUCCCUACCCUAACUGUUUUCCUCUUUGGUAAUCACAUAUUUGUUUUCUGUGUCUGUGUGGACUCAGUGAUUCUUUAGCUGCCUUGGGCCUUCAAUAUCACUUUAGCCAGAGUGUUUCCUGUUUGAUCUAUUUUUAGAAUUUGGGCUUUCAUGAAGAUUUCCUUUAAAGCAGGGGUCCCCAACCUCCAGGCCUCGGACUGCUACCUCCACUCAGAUCAGUGGCAGCUUUAGAUUAGAAAUAAAGUACACAAUAAAUGUAACAUGGUUGAAUCAUCCCCAAACCAUCCCCCCAUCCAGCCCUGGUCCAUGGAAAAAUUGUCUUUCACGAAAUCUGUCCCUGGUGCCAAAAAGGCUGGGGACCACCAUUUUAAAGCGUGAAUUCCAAGGCUUUAAAAAUGCUUGACAAAAAAGUGGGCUAGAUAACUCUAAGAUUCCUUCCAGUCUCAACAUUUUUUUUUCAGUCAUGUCAUGCAGCUUGUGGGAUCUUAGUUUUCCAACCAGGGAUUGAAUCCUUCCCUCAGUAGUGAAAGCACAGAGUUCUAACCACUGGACUGCCAGGGAAUUCCCAGUCCCAACAUUUUUGAGCAUAAAAAUCAACCUUUCCUUCCUCACCACUGUGCCACAGAGGGUCUGGUUCCAAGAAUUAAUGGAAAACUGAUGGUUAAAGGCCCAUCUCCUGCCAGGCUGUGUCAUGGCAAAUCGACCAUGACCCUGUAAAUGGCUUGCUCCCAUCCCAUCCAUCUUUGGCAUCUUCUCACUUACUUCUUGUUUACUUCUGCCAAUAUUCCUAGGCAAAGGGGGAAAAAACUGAUUUAAAACCAAUUGCAUAAAAUGCAAACCAGCCCAGCAAACGCAAAUGUGGAAAAGAUGGCAGCUUUAAAUGAACUGGCUGCCGAGGUUUGCAAAGGCAUGGUCCACAGCAGUGGAAGCUGGCACUCCCUCGGUGGUUUGUCCCAGACAUGUGGUGCUGGAGAGGAUUAUAGUGCGGUGAUUAAUAGUUUGUGUAGCAUCUGAGCCUGCUUCCUGAUUAUGGGGAAUCUGCUCUUGCGUGAGGGUCUGGCUCUGGAGCCCAAAGGGGUGAAAAAGCUCCCCUUGAACUCUGGUAGGGGGAACAAAGACACAUGAACUAAGAACAACCCAUCAGAAUCUCACUUGAUAUUUUCAAUCCAGGCUGAACGAUGUAAUGGAAAUUCCUUCUGAUGGGACUGAUGGCUAAGGCAUUCAGUGUCUGGUGGCAUUGGUAGUACCCGGGCUAGCAGCGGCCACAGUGCAAGCAGAGGGUCUAGCAUCCAGUUACCUACAGUCCGUUUUGAAAGAGGCCAGAUGUUACAGAUGAUGUGAAGGGAUGUUAGUUUUUCCAGAGUUUCUGCAUCUUGCCAGCCUGUGCCUUUUCCAACAUUCCCCUUCUUUCUGUGGUUUCUGAGUUUCCUUGACAUUCAAUCUCCUUCAAACUCUCCCAAGGGAUUCCCCUCUCAGGCUCUUCUCUCCAUCUUCUCAGCAGAUGUUUAGGCAGCUCUUGUUGCCUCUCAGAAGAGCAAGCAACACCUCUUGUGCCUUUCUCCCCACCUGCAUCUUUCUACUGCCCAUUUUAUGCCCCCAACUGUGCCCAUACAGAGCAGUGGGUACUCUUAUCUUGCAAAUGAAUCUCCCAGAGUGAGCCUUCUUGUCACACAUGUGUGUGCUGGUGGUGAAGACUGAUUCAUCUUACAUGAAGAAAAAAGGCGUGGGACCUCCCUGGUGGUCCAGUGGUUAAAAAUCUGCCUGGCAAUGUAGGGGACAUGGGUUCGAUCCCUGGUCCGGGAAGAUUCCACAUGCUGCAGGACAACAAAGCCCUCGUGCCACAACUACUGAGCCUGUGCUCUAGAGCCCAGGAGCCUCAACUACUGAAGCUCGCACACUUUUGAGCCCGUGCUCCACAACAAGAGAAGCCACUGCAAUGAGAAGCCCGAGUUCUACAACUGGAGAGUAGCCCCCGUUCACCACAAUGAGAGAAAACCCUGAUGCAGCUAUGAAGAGCCCCGUGUGCUGCAACGAAGACCCAGCACAACCACAAGUAAAUUAAAUAAAUAAACGAGAAAGUGGAAAAAAAUUUUUAAAGAAAAAAAGACCUCUGAGUGACCUGGCAAAGAUAAGCUUUCAUUCAUUUCCUUUUCACCCCCUUUCUGAACAUCGCUGCUCCAGAUCUGUAGUUUGGCUGGGAAAGCUCUGCUUGAAGCCACAAACCUCCCUGGCGCGGAUUAAGCCUUCAAAUUGGCUUACAUCCACCUUCCUCAUUUUCCUUGGACUAGCCCUGCCAGGGCACGUUCCUUUCAUGGCAAGUGGCAGGAGCCCAGGAAGUUGAGCAGAGACCCUUGAUGCCUCCUGAGGCCUCGCAGGUUCUUUACCACUAGGGCCACCUGGGAAGCUCCCAAUCAUCUAUGCUGACCAGUAACUCCACCCCAGCCCUGCCAAUACUCAAUCAGAGAGAAGCUGUGCAGUGACCUUGGACAAGGUGUUUGUUGCCUCUCGUCGGAUCUAUCAGAGUCCUCAGGCUCCUAGAACAGGAGCUGACCUGCAUCAGUUGUCACUGGAUCUCCCUCCCCUUCUGGGCUCUGGCUGACUUCAGCCCACAGCAGACACCAGCAGGAAAUGGAGGGGAGUUGGAAAGCACCAGCAGAGUGCUGACUAUUCUAACGCCCUUACCAGUGGACGAUGGCUUGGCAGCUGUAACCUGGUUCCGACACGGAAGGCCCCAGCCGCUUUUCAGCAACCCCAUCCUUCAGCUACAGGCCUCUCAGGGUUCUUUUCACCACUUCCUUUCCCGGUCCCUUCAAGCUGACAGUGCUGAUGGUGCUCCACGUUUCUAUCCUGGAGAUGCUGCAUCAUCCUUUUUGUUUUCCUUUCAUCUCCUCCAUGUGUCUAAAAUUCUUCUGUUUAUUAUGUUCUCUC